rnacentral:rRNA from 1 species
UACAGAGGGUGCAAGCGUUAAUCGGAAUUACUGGGCGUAAAGCGUGCGCAGGCGGUCUUUUAAGUCAGAUGUGAAAUCCCCGGGCUUAACCUGGGAACUGCGUUUGAAACUGGAAGGCUAGAGUGUGGCAGAGGGGGGUGGAAUUCCACGUGUAGCAGUGAAAUGCGUAGAGAUGUGGAGGAACACCGAUGGCGAAGGCAGCCCCCUGGGCUAACACUGACGCUCAUGCACGAAAGCGUGGGGAGCAAACAGG